AAUUUUGUGUUCUCUUUCUUUCAGUUUUUUUCUACUUUUACAAAAAAAAAUGGCAAUGUUUCUUUUUUCGUUUUUUCUUUCUUUCCAAAAAAAAAUCUCUCAUUCUAAGGUAAAGCAUGAUCCUCCAUCAUGCAGAGCCGACCACUCGGAUCUCACUGCUAACGACACUGCUAUGGCCAAGUAUGACUUCGACAAUCCUAU
rnacentral:lncRNA from 1 species